rnacentral:tRNA from 1 species
ACUUUCUUGGCAGAAAAAGUGCAAUGGUUUUAGAUUCCAUAUAUGAAAUUUUUUUUUCAGAAAGUA